rnacentral:misc_RNA from 1 species
UUGAUUUAUUUGCUUGUUUACUCAGAAGAUACUCAUAGAAACAGAGGUUUGGGGUUCUCCGGCGGACGCCUGGGUCCGGGCCCGAGGGCGCCGGGGCGAGACCGCCGAAGCAACGUAGGUAUGUUCACAGGGGUUGGGGAGUUGUAAACUCGGUAAUGAUCCCUCCGCUGGUUCACCAACGGAGA